AGUCUCACUCUGUCACCCAGGUGGAAGUACAGUGGUGCACUCUCGGCUUGCUUCCCAGGCUCAAGUGAUUCUCAUGCCUCAGCCGCCCAACUACCUGGGACUACAGGCGUGCGCCACCAUGCCUGGAUAAUUUUUGUAUUUUUUAGUAGAGACGGGGUUUCACCAUGUUGGCCAGGCUGUUCUCGAACUCCUGACCUCAGGUGCUAGGAUUAUAGGCGUGAGCCACCACGCCCGGACUAACAUGGAGUUUUUUAACUUUUGUUUUUGCCAAGGUGAGUACCUUGAAAUGUUAAAAACCUAUUCAUUCCCAUCAUUUACAAAAAGGACAUUUUAACUCCAAGAUAAAUAGGAAAGUCAAAGACUGGGCCAAAAAAGGAAUUUAUUGUAAUUAAACUGGAUAAAUUUUUCUUCCACUGUUUGGUGCUUGAAAUCUAUCACAUUCCACCCAGUGGAAGUGAGCCUCUGAUGAUGAAAAAGGGUAUUUUCUCUAAGUUUACUUAAACAACAGUCAUCAUUGGGCCAUUUAAAAUUCUUGGGCAUGGUGCCUCACUCCUGUAAUCCCAGCAUUUUGGGAGGCCGAGGCGGGCGGAUAAUGAGGUCAGGAGUUCGAGACCAGCCUGGCCAACAUGGUGAAACCCCAUCUCUACAAAUCCAAAAAUUAGCUGGGCGCAGUGGUGUGCGCCUGUAGUCCCAGCUACUCAGGAGGCUGAGGCAGGAGAACCACUUGAACCUGGGAAGCGGAGGUUGCAGUGAGCCGAGAUCACGCCCAUUGCACUCCAGCCUGGGUGACAGAGUGAGAACCCGUCUUAAAAAAAAAAAAAUUAUUGGCGGGGCCUGGUGUCUACAAAUCAUACAUUUCUUUAGUGUGAAGGCAGCACUAACUGUAGCAGGAUAUUGCUUCACACAUCUAACCUCUUGUAGUUUAUUUCACUAAACUGAGUUUUGCAACAUGGAAAUAGUAUGUACCUUAUUUCCUCACAUACUUCCAUCUCAUAAAAUUUAUCCUAGAACCUAUUUGGGGUAUCAAAUAAAAGGUGAUUUUUAUGGUUUUAAAGUCUCUCUGUUCUCCCUCUCCCUAGCUCCCCACCUAGAUAGGCUGCCAUUAUGAUCGCUAACAGGAAAACUGAUAGAUUUAAAAUUACUGUUUAUGUUAUUAUCUGUGCAGGAACAAUCAAAAAAUAAUUUUUGUCUCAUUCUGCUGUAGAGACAAAAAAUUUCGUUCUUUCUUUUUUUUUGAAAUGGAGUUUUGCUUGUUGCCCAGACUGGAGUGCAGUGUCGAGAUCUCAGCUCACUGCAACCUCCGCCUUGCGGGUUCAAGAGAUUCUCCUGCCUCAGCCUGUCGAGUAGCUGGGAUAUAGGUGCCCACAACCAAGCCCAGAUAAUUUUCUGGUAAUUUUUAGUACAGACGGGGUUUCACCAUGUUGACGACGCUGGUCUCAAACCCCUGACCUCAAAUGAACUGCCCACCUCUGGUUCCCAAAGUGCUGGGAUUAUAGGCAUGAGCCACCACGCCUGGCUGACAAAAAUAUUUUUAAAAAUUCUCCUAAUAGCUGUUUUGUUUUGUUUGUUUGUUUUUUAUUUUAGGAUCUUGCUCUGUCACCCAGGCUGGAGUACAGUAGCACCAUCACUGCUCACUGUAGCCUCGACCUGCUGGGCUCAAGUGAUCCUCCCAUCUCAGCCUCCUGAGUAGGGGACUACACACAGGCACCACCAUGAUCCGGUAUCACCAGUCUGUGGGUACAAAAGGAGAGUAACAUGAACGAUUCAAAUUCCACUGGCUCUUGUUCCCAUGGAUUCACAGAAGUUCAGCCCCAUUUCAAAACUUCACAUUUGCUUCUGGGAAGCCCAUUCUGGAAAGUUUCUCUGUGGCCCUCUCCAGAAGGCAGCGCGACUUCCACCCAGCAACACAAGUCUCUGCAGCACCUGCCCCAGCAGCGCCAGCUGAGCCCCGGAAGCUGGGAAGGCUUAAGCUGACUCUUCUGCUGCACAUAGCAAAAAAUGGUCAUUUCUGUAGUUGCAGCUCCAGAUCUACAAUAAUCAAUCUAUAUCCAUAUUUUAUGGGGUUUUUUUGAGACAAAGUCUUGCUCUGUUACUCAGGCUGGAGUGCAGUGGCAUUAUCAUCAUUCACUUGUAGCCUUGACCUCCCUGGCUCAGGUGAUCCUGUCACCUCAGCCUUCCAAGUAGCUGAGACCACAGGCAUGCACCACUAAGCCUGGCUAAUUUUUCAAUUUUUAUUUUUCGUAGAGACAGGGUCUCCCUGGGUUGCCCAAACUGGUCUUGAAUUCCUGGGCUCAAGCAAUCCUCCUGUCCCGGCACCCCGAAGUGUUGGGACUACAGGCAUGAGCCACUGUGCACAGCCCUUUUUGUUUUUGUUUUUGUUUUUUUUUAAAGGUAAUUUCCCAGUGGAAUCCUCGAGAUUUCUUCACGUUUUUGGAAAAAUGAGUUACAUUUUAGAUUGUUUUCCUUUUUGGAAUUUAAUGGUAUACAUUAUAUUACAUAGCUAUGUUGAGCUCUAUUUCUAUUACACUAAAAAGUAGGCUAAUUGUCUUAACUUUCAUCAGUAAUGACAUUAAAUGUGUGAAGAUUAUACUUGGAAUAAAGCACUUGGAUUCAUUCAUUUCUUCAGUAAAUAUUUAUUGAGCACUAGUAUGUUCCAACGAGUGUCUGUCUACAUUCUGGGGACAAGUGAUAACUAAAUCCCUGUCCUCGUGGAGAGUUAACAAUCAACAAACUAACAAACAUUUAAUUUAUGUCAUCAACUCAUUUCCACAAAUAUAACAACAUCUUGACUUCAAGUUUCCUGAGUUUCUGGUCUAAAGAAUUGCUACCUUCAAGAGCUCAAAUCAUUUGUUGGGGAGAGAGGCCUGUGAUAUAUUUUCUCCUUUACAAUGAAAGUAGCUGUAAAAAGAGGAAGAGAAAUUCUGAGGGUAAAGAUAAAAAAUGUUGAAAUCUUCUUUCUGGAUUUCAGAUUGAGUCUCUUGCCCUAAUUGAUGCAAUUUACACUCCAUGCAUCUCCUUCCCUGGACCUUCUCCAGUUCUUGGGGACUACAGAUGAACUUACUUUUAAUGCAUUUUAUGGCAUUUGGAGGCCCUCCAGUGGACAAAUACUAUACCUGAAAAAAAUCCUUUUGCUGUGCUAAAGUGUUCAGGUGUGAAGUGUACUCAUGUUUGCAAAUCACUUUGAAAUAUAUAAACAAAAAUGAAUUAAUGGAUGAAUAGAGUGAUGCAUAGAUCAUUAGACAUGUGAUAAAAAUAACUGUUAAUUGUAGAAUCUAGAUGAUGAGUAUAUUAUAUGAUAUGGCCCACUGUAUAAUUCUUUCAACUUUUCUGUUUGAAUGUUUGAUAAUAAAAUAUUGAAUAAAAAUCUUUUUGCUAAAGAUUUAUGCCUUGUAGUUCACAUUAUUGAAAAUUUUGCUGAGAUAACGUAAAUUACCUUUCAAAAAUCAUCUUAAAAAUUGUCUUAAUAAACAUGGAUUAAUUUUUAUUUUUAUUUUUGAGACAAGGUCUUACUCUGUCACCCAGGCUGGAAUGCAGUGGCAUGAUCAUGGCUCACUGCAGCCUUGAGCUUCCAAGCUCAAGAGAUCCUCCCAUCUCAGCCUUCUGAGUAGCUGGGACUAGAGACUAAUUAAAAAAUUAACCCAGCUAAUUAAAAAACAUUUUUUUUUU
rnacentral:lncRNA from 1 species